rnacentral:lncRNA from 1 species
GUCAUUGUAUGUCAUGGAUUUAAUUAUACCUCUUUCUUCUUUGUAAGCAUGCAUACAUGAUAUUGAUGUUCUUGGAGACGGGAAUUUCUAGAUGAGCUGUGCGCAAGAGGAAUAAUCUUUUAGUUUCGGACCUCGAAGAAAGAGGAUUGGAGCUGCUGAACUCUGCAUGGAGCACAUGGCAUUUAAAAGUCAGGAGCAAGCUGUGGACAUUUUCAUGCAGCUCUGCAGUGCUUAGGUUAUUCUCCUUUCUUGUGACAGAAGUAGCAAUGCCUAAAGGCAAAAAAAUAUAUUUUUUUUGUAUUUUUGUCACUUGACAGAAAGCUGACUGUUGCAAUAAGUGGGCACCAACUGUUAGAAAACCCUCCCUUAAAUCCCUCAGCAAUGCAAGUCUGGACUGCCGCUAAUGGUCUGCAGAAAGAGCAUGUUGCUUUAGCUUCGGGGAUGUGCUGAUGGAGCAUGCACCAUCCAUUGGAAAGUGGAGCAUGACGGCAAUAUUUUGUAUUGAAAGGUAUGUUUGGAAGGCCCUUAUUUGCUGAUAAGGGCAAUUUUCCAUGUUGCGAGAAGGAAGGUUAACAAGCGGCAGUUCUUAAGGGGGGGGAAUUCUGGAUUAUUGUUCUGAAUAAUUCCACAUACUCCCAUGGUCUCCUUUCUUCCAAUUUAUGCAGAUGUGCUUCAGAAAAAAUUGUGUCUUUGUGGUACAGCCAUCAAACUGUAACUGUACCUGGCUGCAACUUUUUGGUGGAUAUACAGAUUCCUUCCUGUGCAUUUUAUGGCAUACUGGUCACUAUUGAUGACAGAUCUGAGUGUCUAGAAAUACCAUCUAUGUCAUAAAGCCAACAUACAAUUCUUCUCUGUGCACCAUGAUCCUGAUUUAAAACGCUUUUUACUAGACCUUCAUCAGAGGAAAACUAAAACACCUGAUACAAACAAACAGGUAAAAAUUUGAAAUUUGAAAUCAGAUCCUGUGUUUUGUCACUAAAACUCCAUCAAUCAGCUUAUUUCCCAAAUGACAAUUUACAAAUCCAAGACAAGCCAUUGGCAAUUGGCAGUGAGUGAACCUGCACGCAGUGGUCCUUCCAUCCAAACCUGUCAGUAGUGUUGUAUGCACAGCAGUACAGAGCAAAACCCAACCUUUGCUUUGAGGUUGUAAGAGCCUUCUAACAGCUGCAUGAGACCCUGCCACAAUGUUUCAGUGGGCUUGGAUAGUGGGCUUGUACUAGAACAGUACAAAAGGUAAUGCUUGAAAAAGUGGAUGUGAGGCUGAUUUCUGGCAGAUGCUCCUUCUGGUAUACUGAUUUAUUGCCACUCUUCUUAUCAGCUGAAAUAUCACAGUCCAAGUCUCCCUAUAAAUGACUUCCAUUGCCUAAUAAAAACAUGGAAGGAGAAAGGGCA